ACAGCAGCAGCCGCGGGAAUACGAGGGGGGCAAGCGUUAUUCGGAAUUAUUGGGCGUAAAGGGUGCGUAGGCGGCUUGACAAGUCUUGUGUGAAAUCUAUGGGCUCAACCCAUAGUCUGCACGGGAAACUGUCGGGCUUGAGAAUGGGAGAGGUGAGUGGAAUUUCCGGUGUAGCGGUGAAAUGCGUAGAUAUCGGAAGGAACACCUGUGGCGAAAGCGGCUCACUGGACAAUAACUGACGCUGAUGCACGAAAGCUAGGGGAGCAAACAGGAUUAGAUACCCGCGUAGUCCCUGUCUCUUAUAC
rnacentral:rRNA from 1 species